rnacentral:pre_miRNA from 1 species
UGAAGUUAAGAAACUGUUUUUUAACUUUUAACUAAAAAAACUAAGAACCGGUUCUUAAAUAAGGACUUUAAGAACCGGUUCUUACUUUUUUUAGUUAAAAGUUAAGAAACAGUUUCUUAACUUCC